UACGUAGGGGGCAAGCGUUGUCCGGAUUUAUUGGGCGUAAAGAGCGUGUAGGCGGCCAUACAGGUCAGCUGUGAAAACUCGAGGCUCAACCUCGAGACGUCGGUUGAAACCGUAUGGCUAGAGUCCGGAAGAGGAGAGUGGAAUUCCCGGUGUAGCGGUGAAAUGCGCAGAUAUCGGGAAGAACACCCGUGGCGAAGGCGGCUCUCUGGGACGGUACUGACGCUGAGACGCGAAA
rnacentral:rRNA from 1 species